UACCGACGCCAGCUCGAUUGGGUAUGGUGCUAUUCUUUUACACCGAAUAAACUCUAAGCCUCAUGUGGUUGAAUAUUAUAGUAGAGCAACUAGCUCCUGUGAGUCCAGGUACACAUCCUACGAGUUGGAAACCCUGGCUGUCGUAAAUGCAGUAAAACAUUUUCGUCACUAUUUGCAUGGGAGAAAAUUCGUGAUUUUUACUGAUUGUAAUUCAAUCAAAUCUUCGCGUAAUAAAGUCGAGUUGUCACCUAGGGUUUAUCGUUGGUGGGAGUUUCUACAAACAUUUGAAUUCGAAAUUGAAUAUAGAGAUGGUAAACGCAUGGCACAUGUAGACUUUUUAUCUAGGAAUCCGGUGUGUCAAAAGUCAGUAUCAAGAAAAACAGAAGAGAAACGAAUUGACUUAACAGAAAUAUCAGAAAACUGGAUUUUGGUGGAACAACAAAAGGAUCCAGAAAUAUUAGAAAUCAUCAAAUGUUUUGUAUAGAAAGAUCCAGAGAAAUUCAAAAACUCGUUGUUUACCUGUAGUUCCUCGUGCGUUCCGUUGGUCAGUUAUAAAUCAGAUACAUGAGUCUAUCAUGCAUCUAGGCUGGCAGAAAA